rnacentral:rRNA from 1 species
AUUGAACGCUGGCGGCAUGCUUUACACAUGCAAGUCGAACGGUAACAGGCCGCAAGGUGCUGACGAGUGGCGAACGGGGGCGUAAUGCAUCGGAACGUGCCCAGUCGUGGGGGAUAACUACUCGAAAGAGUAGCUAAUACCGCAUACGAUCUAUGAAUGAAAGCGGGGGACCGUAAGGCCUCGCGCGAUUGGAGCGGCCGAUGUCAGAUUAGGUAGUUGGUGGGGUAAAGGCUCACCAAGCCAACGAUCUGUAGCUGGUCUGAGAGGACAACCAGCCACACUGGGACUGAGACACGGCCCAGACUCCUACGGGAGGCAGCAGUGGGGAAUUUUGGACAAUGGGCGCAAGCCUGAUCCAGCAAUGCCGCGUGCAGGAAGAAGGCCUUCGGGUUGUAAACUGCUUUUGUACGGAACGAAACGGCUCUGGUUAAUACCCGGGGCUAAUGACGGUACCGUAAGAAUAAGCACCGGCUAACUACGUG